rnacentral:rRNA from 1 species
CGAUGCAUCAUUCAAAUAUCUGCCCUAUCAACUUUCGAUAGUAGGAUAGAGGCCUACCAUGGUUUCAACGGGUAACGGGGAAUAAGGGUUCGAUUCCGGAGAGGGAGCCUGAGAAACGGCUACCACAUCCAAGGAAGGCAGCAGGCGCGCAAAUUACCCAAUCCCGACACGGGGAGGUAGUGACAAUAAAUAACAAUAUAGGGCUCUUUUGGGUCUUAUAAUUGGAAUGAGUACAAUUUAAAUCUCUUAACGAGGAACAAUUGGAGGGCAAGUCUGGUGCCAGCAGCCGCGGUAAUUCCAGCUCCAAUAGCGUAUAUUAAAGUUGUUGCAGUUAAAAAGCUCGUAGUUGAACUUCGAACCUGGUUGGGUGGUCUGCCUUACGGUAUGUACUGCUCGGCCGGGUUCUACCUCUUGGUGAGCCAGCAUGCCCUUUACUGGGUGUGUUGGGGAACCAGGACUUUUACCUUGAGAAAAUUAGAGUGUUCAAAGCAGGCUUUGCCCGAAUACAUUAGCAUGGCAUAAUAAAA